GACGAACCGUCCUAACGUUGUUCGGAUUCACUGGGCUUAAAGGGCGCGUAGGCGGCCUUUCAAGUGACGGGUGAAAUCCCUCGGCUUAACCGAGGAACUGCCUGUCAGACUGGAAGGCUUGAGACCGGGAGAGGUGAGUGGAAUUCCCAGUGUAGCGGUGAAAUGCGUAGAUAUUGGGAGGAACACCAGUGGCGAAGGCGGCUCACUGGACCGGUACUGACGCUGAGGCGCGAAAGCGUGGGGAGCAAACAGG
rnacentral:rRNA from 1 species